UCCCUGGUGGUCCAGUGGUUAGGACUGCACACUUUCACUGCAGGGGGCACAGGUUUGACCCCUGACUGGGGAG
rnacentral:tRNA from 1 species